UACAGAGGGGGCAAGCGUUGUUCGGAAUUACUGGGCGUAAAGGGCGCGUAGGCGGCCUUCUAAGUCGAACGUGAAAUCCCCGGGCUCAACCCGGGAACUGCGUCCGAUACUGGAAGGCUUGAAUCCGGGAGAGGGAUGCGGAAUUCCAGGUGUAGCGGUGAAAUGCGUAGAUAAUCUGGAGGAACACCGGUGGCGAAGGCGGCAGUCCUGGACCGGCAUUGACGCUGAGGCGCGAAAGCCAGGGGAGCAAGCGGG
rnacentral:rRNA from 1 species